UUUACAAAUUCAACGAUUUCCAUGAAUGUUCAUAUACUUCAAUGUGACAUGUAAUUCAGUACUUAAAGUAUCUUAUAUGCAUAAAUGUAAUGUAUUAAUAUUAUAUAACCCAAGUUGAUACUUAAUUCAAUACAUCGAAGUAUCCUAAUAUACAAAAAAUUGAAUGAAAUCUUAUUAAGUGUUAUUUAUUUAUAUGAUAUUUUUUUAAAAACCUAAACAUGUUUAUACGAACAUCUUUUGACUAAGGUGCUGUUUGUUUGGGUCUGAAUGCCUCUUAAAAAGAGGCACAUCUGAAUUAAUAAAAUUCAGAUUGUUUGGUUGCAACUUAAUUUAUCAUCUUAAUUACAAAAAGAGAUCUGACCAAAUAAGAUAUAAACCCAUGUCUGGGUUUUUUUUUGUUUGUCACGCUUCCUAAUAUGCCCCGACCUAAACGCGCGUUCCCUCUUCUCCUCCACAUCGCUUGUUUCUUCAACCGUCUCUGGUUCUCCAUAUCGUUCGCAUCUCCGACCAUAUCCCUCCAGGUCUUCGCCGUCGCCAGCCCUUGAACCACCUCCACUGUCCGUCAACCCUCACACCCUUCUCCGACAGAUAUGCUGCUGCCAACGACUCCGAUCUGCGGUUGCAGGUGAAAUAGAUGAAGAUUUUGCAAGCUCAUUUUCCGACUUGUCAAAGUUGGUUGUCAUUUAUGUCUCAACAUUAGUUGGAUAUAGAUGUAUUGAAAGAUGAAAGCUCAAACUAAAGUAUGUGCCAUCUUAAAAGAUCAAAUCUUAAAAUUCCUUGGGAAAAAUUUUAACCUUCAAUGUCAAAUAUGUUGUAUUUUAACUAUGAAAUCCUUGGGACAUAAAAAAAUGAUUGUUAUUUUUGUAAAUUUAUCUCAAAAGAUCAUUACAAAUUAUUGUUGAUAAAUUUUGAUUUAUGUUAAUUUGCAUUUUGUAUGGUGUUUA